AACCAUUGUUCUGUUUCACCAAUCUUACGUAACAUUUCCUUCCCCAACUUUGCACUCUCGAAUCCCCUCGGCGACUCUUCGAAGUCUCUGUCACCAAAAACAACGUGAAAGAAAAAAAAGCGAACAUCACACACACGCAACAACAAACACAAACAGGAACGUUAACAACAACAAAGAAGAACAAUUUCGCAAACCUUAAAAAAAUCUUGUUUGGUUUCACACCCACACAACACAAAAGGGAGAGAUUCAGAGAAUUGCAUUGAAUUCAUUUUCGUAAAACAUAACAGAACAUGUCUAAUCAUCAUCGUUCCUCCAAUCCCUUCUCAUCUACUCACUCUGAUUCCGAUUCCGACUCAGUGAGUUGCUUCGUCACCGAUCUCUUCGAGACUCGCUCUCGCCUCUGCUCCUGCGACGACGACACUGACAUAAACCCCUUCUCUGACGUCGUUUGCGACCUCCAUCGCACGGACCAUAUGUUAGGGUUAGGGUUAGGGUUUGGCGUUGAAAUUGAUCCCGAAAGCCAAACAAAUGAUCGUGAUAAUCAUCGUGGUGAUAGGGUUUUGGAAGCUGAUAGAGUUUUCAAUUUCACGGUGGGGGAUGGUUCGGGUGGGCUUAGGGUUGUAGGGUUUGGCUCGGAAUCCGAAUCGAGUAGCGAGGAGGGUGGGAUUCGUGAUGGUGGCGGGUUUGAUGAUUUCGAUGUUCGGUUGUGUUGGGAUAGUCUCUGUUUGGAGGAUCAGAGGACGCUGAACGAGGGGUUUGAGUGGGAGGAGGUGGAGGAGAGGGUGAAUGAGAGAGAGGAUUUGGGUUUGGUGGUUGAUGAGGUUGAAAUUGAAAGUGAUGAUGGUGAUGGGAAUUCGGUGGCGUCGGGUUUUACAAAUGCCGUUGAGGAGGAGGAUGCCGGGGAAGAGGCACUGAGGUACCUCGAAUGGGAGAUCCUCUUGGCGGUUAACAAUUUGGAGAGGAAUGUGAAUGAUGUGUUGGAGCACGAGGGCAAUGCUGUUGGUGGUGCUGAUUUGUUAACAAUUCAGGAUGGUUAUGUGUACGCAGCCGAGUAUGAUGUUUUGUUCGGGCAGUUUCUUGAGAAUGAGAGUGCCUUGAAGGGGAGCCCUCCGGCCUCGAAGAGUGUUGUGGAGAGUCUCCCGUUGGUGGAGUUGUCCAAGGAGGAGUUGUUGCAGGGGAAGAACGUGGCAUGUGCCAUUUGCAAGGAUGAGGUUUUGUUGGAGGAGAAGGUGAGAAGGCUGCCUUGCUCCCAUUGUUAUCAUGGGGACUGCAUUUUGCCGUGGUUGGACAUUCGCAACACGUGCCCAGUUUGCCGGUUUGAGCUACCCACUGAUGAUCCGGACUAUGAGCAGGGGAAGGUCCAGAGGGCAGCACAUGGUCUGUUGGAGCUUGCGGCAGCACGGAUGCAAUUUUGACUUGUCUGUUGUUGCUUCAGAAUUGGGUGGCAGUGUGGAGCAGUCAACUCCAGAACCAUUUUAGGGAGAUAGCGGAUAAUAGGAUGACCAAUAUAUAUUCAGUGUAAAUCAGUCUUUGAAUUGGUUUUGAAAUUUGAACUGUAUCUAAUGAAAAAGGUGGGAAUUGCAAAACUAUCCCCCAAAAAAUGGAUGGAUGACGUUAUCUGGAGCAAAGGUCUUUUAACUAUAUCGUCAAUUUCAGCUGCAACAACUGCAAAUUGACACAAUUUGGGGCAUGAAGCAGGCACUCCACAAAAACAGGACACAACAGCUUCCCUGCAGCAGCCUGAUGCUGCGAUGAAACGCUGUCACAGCUGUGCUGUUAUCUCAUUCUUGUGGAAUGGAAAUGCCAUAUUUUAUUGUGGCUUCUGAAGCAUCAUUCUUUUCUUUCUGUAGUCGAGUUAUUUAUGCUAUUAUCUCACCCUUUUUUCAUGUCUGUUUUUCUUUUACACGCUUUAUGUUUUGGCAUGGACAGGAAUUUUUUUUUCUUAUAUAAACUAUUCAUCCUUUCGUUGUCUUCUUCAGUAAUAUGCAUUUGGGUAAUAAUUUUUUCUUUCUUGUCUCUUAUUAUUAUAUCUUUUGUGCACUCAACAUUUUAGUGAGGUCAUAUUAACACUUGACAUCCAAAAUUAUUUCAUUACUUGGCCUUAAUCUUAUGGUAUGUUUGGUUCAGCUUAAGUUUAGAGAAAUAACCGUGUAUUUUUUAAAAGCUCUCUCAGGGAGCUGAAAAAUAAGCAAUUAUUUUACCAAAAUAAACUGAGGCAAGCAUCGUACUUAGUUGAGUUGACUAGUACUACUCAGCUUUAUAUGAAGCUUCUUAUCAUAUUUUGAGUAUUGGGUAAUGGGUAUAUAUAGUUGGACACACAAUUUGUUAUAGAUGUAAAGCAUGAGAUCACCAUCAUAGAUGUGUUAUGUGCUUAAGUCCUUUUAUAUUAAGCUUAUGUUAGUAACUAGUUAGCUAGUUUACUUGGUCGAAGAAAUACAAGGGUUUAUGCUAGAAAGAAGGGGAAUGGGCCUGCAGCUAAUUAGACUCAUUAUAAGGGUGGGUUUCAAUUAUAAACUGUAGACAAGUAGCUGCCUAUAAAUAGGAAUAACUGUAAACAGUUUAAGGGACUUUUGGUGAUUGAGAAAGCAGUGUAAGUAGUGGAUCCAGACCUGUUGAAAUAUCUGGAGCCGUGCAUUGGUUCCUUGGGGGCUUUUUCCCAAGUUUUAUUCAAUAAAAACCAGUUCUUUCUCACGGUUAUGUUACUAGUUCCAUCACACUCCCUGUUGCUCAUAUCAAUCAUUGUUUUCCUAGUGUUCUCAGCAACAGAGAAAAUCCUUUGCAGUUUCUGUACAUCCUCAGACUGUCUGAUCUCAUGGAUAUUUUCCCUAGAGAACUUAGCUUUGUGGUACUGCCAUUAUUUGGUUAUAUUUUAAUUUGUGUCAGGUUGUCAGCAUUCUUCUCAAUUCUCAAAAAGGCUCUUUUUAUUCUUUCAUUUUCAAACAUUUUAUUUUUCAACCUAAUUUCUCUAAAGUUUUGUUCUGAUUUUCCAUAGUGUUUUCAUCUUAUUGGGCUGGGAAAAUCAUGAGAUCGAUCCUUAGAAGAGGAAGCAAAAGCAGCAGCAGCACAUGCAAUUCUAGUGGAGACAAUGAAUAUGUAAUGCAUCUUGGAUAGCGAACAUCUUUGUGAUUCAAGAACGUAAAAAACUAUCAAUUGUUGCAAUUCUUCAUUAAUUGUUGUCACAAGUGGCUGACAUACAAAUGAUAAGGUGUUUUUUAGGCUUUUAUCAAAACCUGACAACAUUCAUACUUCACCAGCAGAAUUGAGCAUUGAUGCGUUAAAAGUUUUGUUGUUUUUCGAUGUUUAAAUUAAUUAAUGCAUAAUCUUGUGCUGAUCUCCAUGUUCAAAUA